rnacentral:rRNA from 1 species
UAUGAGUGCCUCAAGCGUUACCCGGAAUCACUGGGCGUAAAGGGCGCGUAGGCGGCCUGCUAAGUCGAACGUGAAAUCCCUGGGCUCAACCCAGGAACUGCGUCCGAUACUGGUUGGCUUGAAUCCGGGAGAGGGACGUGGAAUUCCAGGUGUAGCGGUGAAAUGCGUAGAUAUCUGGAGGAACACCGGUGGCGAAGGCGACGUCCUGGACCGGCAUUGACGCUGAGGCGCGAAAGCCAGGGGAGCAAACGGG